UACGUAGGGGGCAAGCGUUGUCCGGAUUUAUUGGGCGUAAAGAGCUCGUAGGUGGUUCGGUAAGUCGGAUGUGAAAUCUCCAGGCUCAACCUGGAGGGGUCAUUCGAUACUGCCGUGACUAGAGGUCGGUAGGGGAGUGUGGAAUUCCUGGUGGAGCGGUGAAAUGCGCAGAUAUCAGGAGGAACACCGGUGGCGAAGGCGGGAUCCUGGGCCAGUACUGACGCUGAGGAGCGAAAGCGUGGGGAGCAAACAGG
rnacentral:rRNA from 1 species